GCCACGGAUAGGCCCGCGAACCGAAAAGCGGGACACCUUCACCCGCCUGCCGUGGCACCCCAAACGAAGG
rnacentral:sRNA from 1 species